CUAUAAAAUGUGCAUCUGUUUUUUCCAACACUGUUGUGAUCCUUCAGUGCCUGUCCUCUGAACACCACAGGAUGGCGCUAACACAC